AUUGAACGCUGGCGGCAGGCCUAACACAUGCAAGUCGAACGGUAACAGGAAGCAGCUUGCUGCUUCGCUGACGAGUGGCGGACGGGUGAGUAAUGUCUGGGAAGCUGCCUGAUGGAGGGGGAUAACUACUGGAAACGGUAGCUCAUACCGCAUAAUGUCGCAAGACCAAAGAGGGGGACCUUCGGGCCUCUUGCCAUCGGAUGUGCCCAGAUGGGAUUAGCUUGUUGGUGGGGUAACGGCUCACCAAGGCGACGAUCCCUAGCUGGUCUGAGAGGAUGACCAGCCACACUGGAACUGAGACACGGUCCAGACUCCUACGGGAGGCAGCAGUGGGGAAUAUUGCACAAUGGGCGCAAGCCUGAUGCAGCCAUGCCGCGUGUAUGAAGAAGGCCUUCGGGUUGUAAAGUACUUUCAGCGGGGAGGAAGGGAGUAAAGUUAAUACCUUUGCUCAUUGACGUUACCCGCAGAAGAAGCACCGGCUAACUCCGUG
rnacentral:rRNA from 1 species